rnacentral:rRNA from 1 species
UACGAAGGGGGCUAGCGUUGCUCGGAAUCACUGGGCGUAAAGGGUGCGUAGGCGGGGCUUUAAGUCAGGGGGGAAAUCCUGGAGCUCAACUCCAGAACUGCCUUUGAUACUGAAGAUCUUGAGUUCGGGAGAGGUGAGUGGAACUGCGAGUGUAGAGGUGAAAUUCGUAGAUAUUCGCAAGAACACCCGUGGCUAAGGCGGCUCUCUAGUACGGUACUGACGCUGAGACGCGAAAGCGUGGGGAGCGAACAGG